rnacentral:lncRNA from 1 species
CAGACUCUGGCUAGGUCUGGCCCCUGGGACACAUGGCCUCUUAUAAAUGCAGGGGGCUUUCAGAUCCAGACAUCCACAGCCCUCAGUGCACUGGGCACCCAGGUUGCUGGUCUGCAAGAUGCAUCCUCAUGUUGCCCACCUGGCUGGCAUGGUAGAUAUGCCCUUGGGCUGUUUCAAGAUUAGCUGGGAAGGUGAGCAAGAGGCAUGAUGAUGACCACAAAAGGUUGCAGCUCCAGAACCCCACCCAGGGUUCCCAGAUGGAACUCGGUGGGGCCAGACAGAAGUAUGUGCCUGCCAGGGAGUCAGGCACUCUCUGGCUCCAUCCCUGACACCCAGCCUCCUGACACCCAGCAAAUCCUCUGUCUCCCUAAAGGAAGUCAGGCCUGUAUCCUGGCUUCUGGCUUUUGUGCCAUUUUUAUAGCAUGGACUUGAUUUAGGUGUUAGGGUCUUGCUAAGAAUAUGCCCUGACACUUGAAAGAACCUUUAUUAUUAUUCUAAUUUGUGAAGAACUGGUUGUUGGUAUUUUCUUUCCCUUCUCCCCUUUCUUCUCUUCAGAGUCAGGCUGGAGCUAGGUCAUUGUUGUUAAUUUUAGAUCUGAAACUAUAUCUGGCAUGGACUGGUGUCCCCACACUUUCACUUCUUAAAACAGGAAGGAAGGCCCCAGCUGGAGAACUUGGGAGACACAAG